AAAAUUUGUUUUGUGUCUAUGGCCAUGCCCGAUCCCAUCUGAACUCAGAAGCUAAGCAGAGUCGGGCCUGGUUAGUACUUGGAUGAGAGACCAUCUAGGAAGACCAGCUGCUAUAGGUG
rfam:Pteropus alecto contig37667, whole genome shotgun sequence.